CUGCCUAUAUAAAUCUCUCGCUAUUCCGCAGUCCUCACGUUCAGGACACAGCGAUUCGUACAGAGCGAUAGAGAGAUUGAUCUUCAGUUUCAAAAGCGAAAGUGAUUUUCUUCGGCCACCGAUCGCUAAGAUGUCGUACUCCAGAAGGUCAAGGUAUUCCUACUCUCCUUCCCCGAAACGAUACAGUAGGUCCCUUUCGAGGUCUGUUUCGAGGUCGAGGUCAAGGUCAAGAAGCCCAUCAGUUGAGAAUCCUGGGAACAAUUUGUAUGUGACUGGAUUGUCACCUCGGAUUACAAAGAGAGAACUCGAGAAGCACUUUGCAUCGGAGGGAAAAGUCAUUGAUGUUCAUCUUGUGGUUGAUCCAUGGACAAGAGAAUCUCGUGGAUUUGGGUUUGUUACAAUGGAAAAUGUUGAUGAGGCUGACCGCUGUAUUAAGUAUUUAGAUCGCUCUGUACUUGAAGGCCGUGUCAUUACAGUGGAGAGGUGUUUGUGGCAGCAGGUUAGCUGUGUGAAGCAGCUCUUCAUCAAAUUCCAAACAACAACUUAACAAACAAAUCAAAUACAACAACAAGUAUCAGAACAUUGGGGUUGUAUGCCCUGCAUUUCUCUCUCUACAAAUUAAAAUAUUGUGUUAUUUCCAUUUGCUGGUUGCCAAUAUUUGUUUUAGCCAAUAUUAUUGAUUUCAACUAGCUGCAUCCCAGUAUGUCGGUAUUUCCAUGAUCACAUUCCAUGUCUUCAUUAAUUUUAGGCUAGAAGGCGGAGAGGGCGAACUCCUACUCCCGGAAGGUAUCUUGGGCUGCGAACAAUUCGUGUGCGUCGACGAACUCCAAGUUACUCACCUCCUCGUAGAUCUCCUACCUACUCACCAUAUCGGAGGAGCUGUAGCCAGUCACCUCAUUCAUCAGAUCGAAGCAGGAGCAGGUCAUACUCUCCACACUACAGGAGGAGGAGAUCAUACACUCCUGACUACAGUCGGCAUAGAUAUUACUCUCGGUCUCGCACCCCUUACAGCAGGUCACCAGUGAGACAGCAUGCCCGGGGCUACUCGCCAUAUGACUCAAGGGAGUAUUCACCAGAUGACUCUUACUAUGGGAGGAGGCAUCGUUACAGGGAGUAUUCACCAGAUGACUCGUACUACGGAAGGAGGCAUUGCUAUCGUUAUGUUUCUCCUAGUGUCUCUCCAAGGGCAAGAAGGAGAUCAAGGAGGAGCUACUCACCCAGCAUCUCUCCCAGGCCCAGGAGGAGUUACAAGAGGAGCUACUCACCCAGUGUUUCGCCCAGGCCCAGGAGGACAUCUAGGAGUAGUUACUCCCCCUACUCCCCUAGUCCUUCGCCCAGGCCUAGGAGGUCCUCCAGGAGUAUUUACUCCCCUAGUGUUUCACCUGGACCAAAAAAGAAGAGGUCAGGGAAGAGUUACUCCCGAAGUGUAUCUCCUGGACGCAGGAGCUCAAGGUCUUACAGGGAAUCGUCUAGGAGAAGCUACUUGAGACAUCGGAGUCCGAGUGUUAGUGCGAGUUCCAGAUAUAUUUCAAGAUCUGCGAGUCGUAGUUCUACUUCACCUUCAUCGUGAAGGAUGUUUACUUUCCAUAUCUAGCUGUGUAGGGGUUGUGGUUUCGUGAUGUUGGUAGUGAUGGGACAAUUUAUAUGGAAUGUUAUCUUUGUACUCUGACUGGUAUUCGGAUAUAAUUUUAUGCUGCGUUUACUAAUCGGGAAUUUGGAUAUAAUUUUAUGCUGUGUUUACUAAUCGGGAAUUUGAAUUUGAA